rnacentral:lncRNA from 1 species
GCAACAGUCACAAUCUACACCCAGCAUCUAACCCAAGACGCUCUUCUCCCGGAACCAUCUCUGGAUUUGAAGCCUUUCGGAGCGUUACUUUUCUCAAUCGGAAUUGCUGGUAAUUUCUACCACCAUUACUUGCUCUCCAAGCUACGAACUAACAGCAACAACAAGGAGGAGAAGAACAAGAGUAAAGAUCAGUACAAGAUUCCAAAGGGAGGGAUGUUCGACCUUGUGAUCUGCCCUCAUUACCUUUUCGAGAUAAUGGUGUUCUAUGGCAUCUCAUUCAUGUCUCAGACGCUGUAUUCUUUCGCUGUCGCUAUCGGAACAACUGCUUACUUGACUGGAAGGAGCUACGUUACCAGGAAAU